rnacentral:rRNA from 1 species
UACGGGGGGGGCAAGCGUUGUUCGGAAUUACUGGGCGUAAAGGGCUCGUAGGCGGCCAACUAAGUCAGACGUGAAAUCCCUCGGCUUAACCGGGGAACUGCGUCUGAUACUGGAUGGCUUGAGAUUGGGAGAGGGAUGCGGAAUUCCAGGUGUAGCGGUGAAAUGCGUAGAUAUCUGGAGGAACACCGGUGGCGAAGGCGGCAUCCUGGACCAAUAUUGACGCUGAGGAGCGAAAGCCAGGGGAGCAAACGGG